GGAAGUUAAGAAACUGUUUAUUAAUUUUUAACUAAAAAAGCUAAGAACCGGUUCUUAAAUAAGGAUUUUAAGAACCGGUUCUUAGCUUUUUUAGUUAAAAGUUAAGAAAUAGUUUCUUAAUUUCC
rfam:Brassica oleracea var. oleracea cultivar TO1000 chromosome C3, whole genome shotgun sequence